rnacentral:rRNA from 1 species
GUAGUCCACGCCGUAAACGAUGUCUACUAGCCGUUGGGGAACUUGAUUCCUUAGUGGCGCAGCUAACGCACUAAGUAGACCGCCUGGGGAGUACGGUCGCAAGAUUAAAACUCAAAUGAAUUGACGGGGGCCCGCACAAGCGGUGGAGCAUGUGGUUUAAUUCGAUGCAACGCGAAGAACCUUACCUGGUCUUGACAUCCUGCGAACUUUCUAGAGAUAGAUUGGUGCCUUCGGGAACGCAGUGACAGGUGCUGCAUGGCUGUCGUCAGCUCGUGUUGUGAAAUGUUGGGUUAAGUCCCGUAACGAGCGCAACCCUUAUCCUUAUUUGCCAGCACUUCGGGUGGGAACUCUAAGGAGACUGCCGGUGACAAACCGGAGGAAGGUGGGGACGACGUCAAGUCAUCAUGGCCCUUACGACCAGGGCUACACACGUGCUACAAUGGUAAAUACAAAGGGACGCCAAGCCGCGAGGUGGAGCUAAUCCCAGAAAAUUUAUCGUAGUCCGGAUUGGAGUCUGCAACUCGACUCCAUGAAGUCGGAAUCGCUAGUAAUCGUGGAUCAGAAUGCCACGGUGAAUACGU